rnacentral:tRNA from 1 species
GGGCCGGGGUGGCACGGGGCGGUACGGGUGGGGGUGGCUUUUAAUCCGUAGGUUGUGGGUUCGAGUCCCACGCGACCCACCA